GCUCCAGUGGCGCAAUUGGUUAGCGCACGGUACUUAUAAUCAGUAUACGAGCAAUGCCGGGGUUGUGAGUUCGAGCCUCACCUGGAGCA
rnacentral:tRNA from 1 species